rnacentral:rRNA from 1 species
UUAAAGGAAUUGACGGAAGGGCACACAAGCGAUGGAGCUUGCGGCUUAAUUUGACUCAACACGGGGAAGCUUACCAGGAUAGGACACAAGAAGGAUUGACAGAUUGAGAGUUCUUUCUUGAUUUUGUGGAUGGUGGUGCACGGCCGCUCCUAGUCCGUGGAGCGAUUUGUCAGAUUGAUUUCGAUAACGAACGAGAUUCUAACCGAUUAAAUAGACCGUCCCGAUCUCCCUCGUCGGGGGUCUUCUUAGUGGGACGGGCGGCGUCUAAGCCGCACGAGGCAGU